AGUGCAGAGGAGCUGAAAACCGCGAAGCAAACAGACACACGGUAUUUACAUCGGAGAUCACCAUUUCUAGCAAAAAAACCCCGCAACCUCGUUUUCCAGAUUGAAUGGAAUACUUGAAUGAUCGGAUGAUACACGGACCGUUCUAGGAUUACAUUCCAUCGGAGGCAUUGAUGUGUGCAAGGCGACGUUUCUCUUUCUGAUGGGAUGCUCUACAAAAGCAGCUGCCAGGGAGCACACACGCUACUUUUAGUGACGCAAUCAAGAAGUGGCUUAAGUAUGCACCAGAGAGAGAGGGAGGGAUGAGGAGACGUGAGGUGUCUGCGCCGCAGGAGGAAUAGGCCACAAUUAUAAAUUAUAAAUAAAUCAUAAAAUGUUUCU